ensembl:lncRNA
CUGAUUUUCCCAGCCACUGAAAGGUGUUUACCUUCUCCCUUGGUUUUGGCACAGGAACCUGUAAAACGCAACCCCAAAUUCAGUAAGCUGCUAGAGCAAAACCAAAGAUUAAAGAGUGUCAGCAGGUGUGCUUUAGGGCUCAUAAGGAGGCACAUUUCAUCAGUUCAGUGUUAUACGGCCCGGUAGUGGUGAGACUACUUCUGUAUACAGCUGUGUACAGCUCUGGAGAUGCAGUUCGUUUGAAGAACAGAAGGAAACUUUAGAUGCCAGAUCUUCUCAGCUUAGUAGAAUGAGCCUGCUCAAUCUCUGCCUUGUGUUUAAGCUCAUUCAGUGAAACAGAGUCCUGUAACACCACCUGGAAAUGCCAGGUUCCACUUGAUUCUAGAUGAUCCAUGCAGGGAGGUGAAGAAUAUCCCAACUCCAUAAUUAGAUAGCAGUAUUGCAUCUCCUAAGAAGCUAAUGAAUGAAUGGUUGUGGAAUGAGCAGAAAAGGCAUCCAGAAGGUCAAACUUUCUUAAGUUAAGGUAAAAGUACUUCUUAGUCAAGAAAUUAAUUUUGGGUCUCUUCAGCUUGCUCCACGUUCAGGACAAAAGACAUAAAUUUAAUGCUAAGCUUACUCUAACCACUAAGAUCACAUGAAGAGAUUUCUUUCUCUUUCUUCUGGACAGGGGGCAGCAGAAUGACCCUCUGGUGAGGGCUGUCCCCACUGAGGCUUUCCAAUAGAGAUCACCAGUAUCAAUGGCAACUGGACAAACUGCUUUCCUUCUUGGUGAGCUGAGUUGUGCAAAGGCUAAUAUUAGAGUCUGGAGAAAUUCUCUCAUAAUAAAUAAAAGAGUGGGAGGAUGAUGUUUUAUUUAAAUUGUAUACAUUAAUUGAGGACAUACAUUCUACCUCUCCAUCCCCAACAUAACUGAAAGCUGUUUUUCAUCUGUUCUUCUGUGAUGAAAUGAAAAGGUUAUCUGUUAAGAACAUAUCUGGAGAGAGGAAAUCCCACCCUAAAAUUUGCUGGAUUAGUGGCAGAUCCAAAGCCCAUUGAAAACAACCUGGUGAGUUUAGUGGGCUUUCAGUUCCAGAUCUAAGUGUCUGAUGAUCUGAAUAAUGUCUGUGAUUAUUUGUGUACUUCUCUGAUCAUAAUCUCUGCUUUUCUGCCUCGUGCUCUUGAGUCAGGAGCAGCAACACAGCCAUUUGCAGGACUUAGCAAGAUAGUAGCCUUGCUGUAAGGUUGUAUGUCUUGCUGUCUGCAGUACUUGAAUCAGCCUCAAGUGACCAUGUGAAACAAAUGUAUUGCACAGUCCCAUCAGAUUUCUUCUUUCUGCUCAGGCUUUACUGCAAUCAUUUAAACAAUUUUUGUUCCUCCUGUAACACCUUGUUUCUGCUGAAAUGUGGAAACAGUAGAACUUCUUCAGCUUCUUUACACUGUAGUUUGAAGCAAUGGAAUCACAGACUCAUAGAGUCAUAGAAUCACUAAGGUUGGAAAAGACCCACAGGAUCACCCAGUCCAACCAUUCACCCAUCACCAAUGGUUCUCACUAAAAGCAGACAUAAACCCAACUCUGAUCCAGCUGAUGGCAACUUUGGGUUUUUUGGCUUGGGUGUAAAUGGCUUAAGCAAACUCAAAGCAGAAGAGAUUCAGAACCCACUGCAAGUUAUUGCGAAAUUCACCAUUUUAUGCUCUUUUGGAAAAAUCAAUUUUACACAGUUUGCAUCUAGUUUUGAAUGCUUGCAUCAUACUGCAUUUAAUUUGGAAACUAUUUUCUGUGGUCAUGAAUUUCUCCCUGGAGUCUCUUUCCAGGUAAUCAAAAGUUAGUGUCUUUCUGCACUUUGGAGGUGCAAGUCUUCCUUUUAUGAAGUGCUUUGCAUUCCUAACAUGAUGCUCAUCCUCACUGACUGGGUGCUUGCCUCCUACUGAGAGACUGGUGACUGAGAACUGGAAACUGAUUACGAUAGUAACUGAAGAAUGUUGUAAUCAUUCUCCUUGCGUGAGCCAGAUAUAUUCCCGACUCUCCUGCUUGGAGGGAAGUGUAUGGACUGUGAUAACAGGAAGGUUUAUAAAAUCAUUGCAAUCUAAGUAAUGAUUACGGUAAGCUGUUUAAAAAGUUAUGCCUGAUUCUCCCAUGUCUGAGUCCAAAAUCUGGUGAACCCCCAGCAGGAAUCUCUGCGUGGUCUGUGAGGAGAACUUGAUCAAGUUCACCACAGGACAAUGUUUCAGAGAGGCACAAUGGUAUUUUUCCAGUAUAUCCAGAGCAGAUCAUGACUGUGUGUGUUUGUAUUAAUCCCAGCACUUUUCAAGUUGUGUCUAUCACAUCUCUUCCACUGAGGACAAGUGAUGAAUAAGGGAACAGCAAUGCCAAGAAUGCUGAGAAAUGCUGUGUCUUGAGCAGAGCCCGUCCAGUCCUGGAGUCGCAGGUUAUCCUGCUGUGCAAACAGAACUGGUGGGGCAGAUGUUGGAGAACAAACUAGUUUUCCGUGGGGCCUCUUUGAAGAAAAUGCAGUCAGCUCAGGGUGGUCAGAAGCGCACUCUAAAAACAUUUAACCUUGGCAGCUGAAUACCAGUAAACCUAUAAGUGCUGGGCUCUGCCUCUCUGCUUGAAGAGCUGCUGACCAUAGAGGCCACCCAUCCUGAAGCUGUCUCUGUCAAGAGGCUAAGGAAGGAACAAAAGGAAUGAUGGCAAUUUGCUUCUUAUCAGAGGAAGUCUACUCCAUGAAUGACUCACAGGAGUAAUUAUCUGUCAAAUUGUCUCUGUGUGUAGGAAGAGUCUGCAUUUCCGUUCCUCAGUCUCAAGUCACUGUGGUUAGUUACCAAGCUUGCCAUUACUUCAAGAGGAUUUCUUCGUUAUUUGGUGGAUUCUUGGUGCUUAGAUAAGUCAUCAAAGGGGAGUGAGGGUUAAAAUGUAAUGUGGAACACCAUCACAGACUGCAAGGCCAGUGUUGUCUGACGUCCUGCGUGACAGAAACAAGAGAGCAACCUCCAGGAGCCUGUGCACCAAGCCUGCAUUUAUCUUCAUUCUGUGGAAGGGAAUCACAGUAGCUAGUGGCAGCAAUCAAAGGGAAACUGCAGGAACAUAUCACCAGACUAAACACAAAGAAAUGAAUCCCUGGCUAUCCCUUCCCAUCUGAAGUUUUUUACUGCAGCCAGUGAAGACAACCUUUCAUCUCUCCAGUGUGAAGCUGUAUAUCCAGCGUACGUCAUGGCACCUUUUUGGAGGGAACACUAGCACAAGAGGAAAACUUGAGCCUGACUCACAAGAGGGGAACUUAGUUUUAAUCUGUGCCUUGGGCAAACAUGAAUGACGUGGUUAUUUCCUUCUGCUGCCUUAUUCGACAUUACCAAAGAUGUUGAACAGUAUGCAAUUAUGAUGAUUUGUAUUGGUACUACUUGAUCACUGCAACAACAGUACAAUUUCACCUCUAGAACCAAAUAAAAAUUGGCAACACUCUGAUGCUGGUGAACUUGUCUCUGCAAAUAGCAUGGCACAUCUGCUCCUCGUGUGUGUUUUAAGGUCUUCUCUUUCAGAGAGCACACUAGGAGUUGGCAAAGAAGAAGAUGAGGCCAGUGGUGUCUUGUCAUGAACAACAGUCCUAUUGUUCCAGAAAACACUGAGCCCACUCUGGUCAUAGAAAGCAGACAGAAUGAUUUUCAAGUCUGUGAAUUAUUUCUCCUUAUUUUAGAGUCAUUAAUGGAAACCUCUUCUUGCAGCUAAUAUCUGUUUUUAUGCCUGAACGUAUCUUUGUUGAAUUGUUCUUUCUGUGUGUUGCAAUAAGCAAGAUCUUUCUGCUUCUGGAGUGCGUGAAUCAUUAUAGUUAUCACUAAUAUGUGCUGAAGUUGAACACUAUUUUGUUAUUUUCCUCAGUUCUCAUUUCUGGUGGAGCUGUGCUUGGCUUCAAGUAUAGCUCAGCUUCCAACCCUCACUCCUCGUAAAUGGAAAGGAACCUUAGAUACGGAUCCAGAUAUGAAUGUGUUCCUCGGCUUUUGCCCAUCCCAGUUUCCCUCAUGAAAAAGCAUCUUCAGAGCUUACUGUUGGUUGAUGUCUGUGAUUUUUGGCUGCAAUCAACAUUUUUUAUUCCUUUCUGGAAUAAGUGUCUGACAGUUAAGAAAAAUGAGGCCUCUCUCUGCAGUGUGUCUAAGAGAGUGCUCUUCUGGGCUUUCUUAUUUGUAAAAGACUUUCCUAGUCAGGAUGGAUCGCUGUGGGAACAAGGGAAGAGUUUAACACUGUUGAAGUUGGUGUUCCCCUGCCAAGUUUCUUCACAGAAGCUAUUUUUACUCUCAGUGGCUCUGGUGGUAUCAUUUUGGUGACUGUAAAGGCUGAAAGACCAGAAGAUUUGAGGUCUGGCAAUUUUAUGCCACUGUACUGUGUACUAAUUCUUGAUGAAUCUCUGUAUCUCCAUUGGUAUUUGCUAUAUUAUUCUGCUCAUUUUCUGCCUUGUUCUCUUUUAAUGGGAUACUGGUCCAAGGUCUUUCAUCUUGCAUUUCUGUCUUUCUGCAGGGUAAUUGCAGACUGACCACGGAGUAGAAACAGUAGCUGACCUACAGUAAAUAUCAGCUGAGGAAAUGGGUUGAUGGGAACCCCAUGAAGUUCAGCAAAGGCAAAUACCACACUCUCUGUCAGAGGUCCCUCGUGAGGAAUACUAGUGUAGAAAGAAACAGAGGGGAAAACGUGAACAAUGGACCUCUCCUACCCUAAUUGCAAGUACAGCAAGUAUGUCAAGUGUGCAUUUGAGAGACAGAAGACUGCUUUGUAAACAUGAGCAGUGCUCAUGAAACAGACAGAUGAUAGCUGAGAGUCAAUCUGUAGCUAUAUCCAUCUUGAAGAAACCUUAUCUGAUGAAGCGAACCAGCAUAGCCUGUAUCUGUAAUUCUUGAUCAAUAUAUUUUUGUUUUAUCUUCUGCUGAAUGGCCUUGCUGCAUUUUAUAUGAAAUUUGAUUGUAUAAACGGCUUCCACAUUUUGGAAACGCUUCCAGUUUGGGAAUAUAAGUGGAGAAAUGGUUGAUGUCUGGAUUUCUCUCAGAUUAAGUGAAAAGCACCUUCUGAAGUACUGAACUGCUGCAAUCACACCUGGUUUGGCCCUGCCCUAAAACAAGCUUUGGGGUAUGAGAGAGUGCUGAAGUCUACCUGGAGUUCUUAUAGGUUGGUCUCUAGAGGCAGAAUAUCAGACACUUUCUGAAAUUUCAUAGUUUAGGAUUUAGGUGUGUUUUUCCUUCUGAGCAUAAGCAAUUUACUGAAUAUGGUCAGCGUUUUCUUUAUUGGCGUUGUAGAGUGAAGGAUAACUGCUUUGCAAAUCAACUAAAUUAAAACUACUGUAUUAGGAAUACUGCCUUUAAGCAUAAUAACUGUGUAACACAAACUUGGCAGAAAGAUGUUUAAUUUACAGGAAAAAAAGUGAACAGGUUAAAGAAUAUUCAGAUAAGUUAGGUAGAUUCAAGUCAGCAGGGCCUGAUGAAAUUCACCCCAGAGUACUUCAGGAACUAUCUGAAGUGAUCUCUGAACUAUUAGCAGUUAUCUCUGAGAGCUCAUGGAGGAUGGGUGAGGUCCUGGAGGACAGGAGAAAAGCAAACACUGUACCUAUCUUUAAAAAGGGGAAACAGGAAGACCUAGGGAAUUUCAGGCCAGUCAGGUUGACUUUGAUACUGAGAAAAAUGCAAGAGCAAAUUAUUGAACAAUCAAUUUGUAAACACCUAGAGGAAAAUAAGGUGAUAAGAGCCAGCAUGGGUUUGUCAAGAACAAAUCACAUCAAAGCAAUCUAAUUUCCUUCUUUGACAGUGUAACUGGCCCAGUGGAUAAGAGGGAAGCAGCAGAUGUGAUAGAUCUUGACUUCAGUGAGGGCUUUGACACACAUCCACCUGACAUUUUCAUAAGUAAGUCAGAGAAAUAUGCUUUAGAUGAAGUUAUUAUGUGAUGAGUGCAAAACUGUUUGAAAAAUUGGACUUAUUGGUAAAGCAAUUAUCAAUGUUUUGUUGGCAAACUGGGAAAACUGUGGUAUCUCAUCAAAUAAGAUAUCACAGAGGUCUGCCUUAGGUCCAGUAUUAUUCAAUGUUUACAUCUUCGAUGAUGGAAGAUAUAGAAAACUUUUAAAAAUUGCAGGUGAUACUGAACUAGAAGGGCUGCAAACAUUUUAGAGAACAGGAUUUGAAUACAAAAUAAUCUUGAUAAAUUGAAGAAAGAGUCUGAAGCCAAUAAGAUGAAAUUCAAUAUGAACAAGUGUAAGGUAUCACUUCUGAGGAAGGAAACAUCAAAUACACAAAUAUGAAAUGGAAAACAAGAAGUUUGGAAGCAGUUCACAUAAAAGAAGUUUAGCACAUUGCACACAAAAAAAAUAUGUAAUUCAGAAAUACAAAGUUGUGUGAUGGGAUGAAUUAAUGGUUAUGUUGUGAGUAACUGGGAAGCAUCUAUUUCAUUCUGCUCUGGAUAACGAGGCCCAACCUGGGAAUAUUAUGUCUGUGUCCAGUGGUGACAUCACAUUAUGGUAGAUAAUUUUGAAAUCUUUUUCAUUUUGAAAGGAGAAAGAGCAGUGCUUAGAAAGCAGGAAAAGCUGAAAUAAAUGACUCCUUUUGUUUUGGAAAAAAAAAAAAAAUAGGCAUAAUGUAGAUCAGCGAUACAAAAAAAUGUUACUAAAAAUGUGAGAGAGAAAAGGGCACUUACCUGUUCUCCCUCAGUAAAAACGUUGUGAAAAGAAACGGAUAGGCAAAGCUGAAGCCUGAGAUACUCAGAUUAGGUACAAUUCAGAUAGAUUUCUCUGGUUAUGAGAAUGGCACAGCACUGGAACAAGGUUUCUAAAAUACUCCAGAAUCCUUGCUUCAAAUCCUUAAAAUGGGUCAGACAGACAUCUGUCAGUGAUGUGGAACAGAUGUCCUCUUGAGAUCGCUUCUACUUUCACAUUUCUACAAUAAUUCGUACACCUCAGUCAAGAGGAAAACCCACGUGAACCAAAUAAGCAAGAAUUGCUCGCAUGCACAUACAAACAUACAUUUCCUACCAAACCCCCAACCUUUCCCUGAAAAUCUCUUUUCCUAUCAAACAUUUCUGUGCACUUAUCAAACUGAUGUUGUUUCUUCUAGUCCUUUUCACCUGCACGUCCCCCAAAACAGAGAAAAGAGUCACUCAUCACUUCAUUUCUGUAUUAAAGAUUAUGGAGAAAGGCAGAUCUGACGUCUAUCCAAACAACUAAUCCAGUAUGUUGCUUUCUGUGGGCUGACCCUACUAAUGUAUAGAAGCAAGCCUCCGAAGCCAUAAAAGCCUUUUUUGAAACUAUCUGUUGCAAGCUGCCAUAAGAAGUGCUUUGUUCUUUUUCUCUCUGUAUUUUUGAUGAAGCUACAGUUUGAAAAUGACACUUUAUAAAUAUGCCUGCUCCCCUUUAAUGAUAAACUUGGGACAAACUGGAUGAUAUUUUCAUGAGGUUUUAUUGGCAUGAUUUUGAACUGUUUUGUUAUUUAUGGGAGCAUCCUAGACAGACUGCAGCAAACACUCAGCAUCUUCUUGUUAUGUUUACUGUGUGAGCCACAUGCAUCUCAAAAUGUAGUCUUGAAAUAUAUAGUGAGAAAAGGGAGCUUCUUUUAGGGCUGCAGGGCCAGAAAUCUUAGUCAUCAAGUGCUGAUUUGUGUGAAGAUUACAACAGGAAAAAACAGUGUUUUAAAUGACUGAUCUAAACAAGGUACCUGAAAUUUAACUGCAGGGUUUGCACACUGCACUGCAGUGCAUGCGUGCUACCUCAAAAUGACACUCAGAGCAGAAUGUCUUCUCCUGCAUGUGCUUGCCUUUGUGAUCAUACCUGCACGAUAACAAAUUCAGGAAACCUUUUCUUAAAGGUUAUGAGGCUGCGGCUGCAAGUAAAGAAUUGUUUGUCUUGCUUUGUAUCUGGGAUUAUGCCUGUUCCAUCUCCAUGAAACCAAGGAUGUUUAAUUUUGCAUGAAUGGUGGUGGGGCGAGUGUUAUUUGGUUCCUUGGCUUAGAUUUCCUACUAGGUCCGGAGGCUUAGAAAAAGGAAUAUCCUUACUUGGAGAACAGCCAUCUCCCUUUCCAGGCAAACUGACUGGUAGGUGACAGUCUUUGACAAGGGUCCAGUCUCAGUUCCCUGGAAGUAGGUUAGUCAUGUGAGAAGCUUUUCUGUGCAUUCGAAGACACACAAGAUAGUUCUGCUUGAGCCAGGUUCAUGCACAGUGCUAAGGCUAUAUUCAUGUGGUGCAAUGCUUCUUGGAUACCUAUAUGCCAAGGUUAAUAGUGUAACUGACCUUCCUCUUCUCUAUUUUGCUCUGGCCCUGUUCUUAUUCACGUAUGUCUUUAGCACAUAUGCUUUAGCUUUACCUGAGUAUAACAGUCUCCUAUUACCUCCUGCAACUGAGAACUGGUCAAAACUGAGCAUCCCAGGCUCUAUUAAAAUGUCAGCAAGAUUUUACGCACGAGUUAAGUCCCACUUAAGGAGUAUUUUGAGAUUUCACUGUGCAAUGUAAAAAAAUAAAUUUGCAGUUACUGACCCCUCCAUGCAGUCCACAUAGUAUACUUGAUACUUGGGGUGGUAGGAAGAUACACCAUCACUCACACUCAUUAGGAGGUCCACAGCACAUAACUUUUAAGAGGGAAUUUUGGGGUAGAAGGUUUUGGGAGGUCAUUGGUAAUACUGCCAUUAACUUGCCAAUGAGGAGGUAGGACCAUAUUUAGAGCCACUUUUAGUCCUGCUUUCUGUAAUCUAAUAGGUUUUACAUUUUCAUUAGCUAUCACAAAUGAAAGAUUUGUGGUAGUAUGGAACCAAAAUUUUUUUCCUUAUCACUUGCAAAAGAUGCUAUUAAAGAUAAAGUAAAAUAAAACUUCCUGGAUCUAAAUAUAGGCUGGACUAAAUUGGCAGAUUUCAGUAAGCAUGUCUGCUUAGUACUGGACACGGUGCUGAGUGAAUUUUACAUAAGAGGAAAAAAAGCUAAGUAAAAUGAUAGAAAGCCUUGUCUGAACUGCAGCCGAAAACGGAAUAGUUUUCCCUUCUAUGAUACAGGGUUGUAUCUUUCUAUCUCAGCCAACCAGAGAGAUCUUUUUGGAAUACAUAUACCCCUGUCUGAAACACAUCUCCAGCCUGUUCUGUGCUAAAAAAUUUCAAUCACAGAAAGGAAAAGAAAAAAACAAAAAACAAAAAACAAAACCCAAUAACACUCCCAAACUAGCUCAGUUCCUGAGGUUUCUGCAAAGGAUGUAACCUAGAUUCACAGAAUAAUUCUGGUAGGAAGGUGUAACCUCUAGGAAAUCAUCUGCUCAGGUGUUCCUCACACAACAGAUCUAGCACACCCAUCUCCCAUUAUAGAUACCACAUUGCAGAUAUCCUAAUUUGUAAGGGUGAUGUCAGCUAAGAUCAAAGAUCUAUUCUCAUUUCCAGCAUAGGCCAGAAGAGGUUAAGUCAAUUUAUGAAGUCUCUUAAAUGAUCUCACUGAGGCAGAGUUUCUCAUCUAGUGCCCCUCAUCCUAAACCCUCAGUACUAAUUCUGUGUUAUGCCAAAGAGGAGCACACAGGAGUCUGGAUCUGCGCUGCAGCUGGGACAUAAUGUAUCUCUGCCUAUUUCCAGCGCCUUUCCCAGCUCUUUCCCAAAGCUCUGAGGGGACAGAUGGUCUCUUCUGCCCAUUUAUUUGGUUUCCAUGGUGGAAACAAUUACCGCAGCACAAACAAGAAGGGGACACUCAUCCAGACACUGCAAGACUGUUCAUUAGUAAGGCAGCAUCAAUGUGCAUGUGGCAGCCCAAUUUGUGUCUUGCUUGCCAGUGUGGCUUAACUCAAGUAUAUCCUCUGAACUGACAUCAGUGAGAGCAGACAUUCUGUGUUAAGAGGAACAGCCCACCCGUGAUAAAAAUAUAUUAUUGCGGUGAUAUAUUUUAAUGAGAACUUCAGUGUGACCAGCUAGUGUUGUUUGAAAUAAAUUCUAUUAAUAAAGCAGCUGAAUUUGUGGUAUAGCACUAAAUACAGAGAACUAUAAAGUAGCUACGUGAUGUGGGGUCAUCAGUUUAGUGGUCUGACCCUCAUACCUUAUGCAUGUCCCUUAAUUUCCAUGGAGUCUCACCCUCCUUCUGUAGAAUGAGGUUUAGCUCUCCCUCCUCACACCCCAGUGGAAUGUCACAGGGUGCAACCCUCUGGCACUGAGGAGAUAUCUGACAGUGAGGUCUGUAUUAGCACUUCAGGUAGCACUUCUAUUUAGGGGCCAGCAGACUGACAGCUCCUUGCUGUGUGAUACCAUGGUGCUUUGUCUCCUCGUUUUGGUAUGUGCAGUAUCCUACUUGUGCUACAUCUCAGUGAGCUGGAGAAGUGGUGCAAGUCACAGCACUUUCCUUUUCCAUCUGGCCUGCAGCAAUGGAGGGGUGGAGGGGGUUAGGCUUGCUGUGGUGUGACUGUGCUGCAAUGUAUGAAGUCAAGAACCCCACUGAAGAACUUGAAUAGAGACUUGCAUCAUGUUGGUGAUGUUGCCAAACUUCAUGGUAGAAAUGCUCCAUUUUUGGAAGAUAAACUAUAGAAUACUUUCCACAGGACUGCAAGAAAGCAAGCUUGCUAUGCCUGCAUUCCACGCUUCUCAAUCAACAUCAAUAUCAAACCUCCUCCAGAAUGAAAAGAUUUCACCACUUUUCUUGUUAAAUGUCUUUGUUACGUGUAUUUAGGGUGUGCUAGAUAUUUUCCCUAGUUUAUCAAUGCCUUCAGCCGCUCAGCUCUAAGAAAGGUCAGUAUGGGCUCAUUGCUGAUUCCUUUUAUUUUUUUUCUCUCUGGUGCAUAACACAGGCAGCUAUUCUUGCCAGUCUCUCUCUUUGCCUAAGUACUUAGAAUCCUCCACGGGAACAGGUGAUUAAUGGCAUGUUAAUUGUCUAUGUUUGAGAAUGCACACAGACACACAGAUGCUUACACAGGGAGCUCUUGGUACGUAUGUCUUUCUAAGCAUCAAGUUUUUCCAUACAGAUCUUAUUAUCUGUAACAUAGCCCUUUCUCUCAGUAUUGUAUUUGCACUGGGGUUGAGGCAAUCCCAGUCAUGCACACAGACUGGGAAAAGAACCCAAAGAGAGCAGCUCUGUGGAGAAGAACUUGAGGAUCCUGAUGAAUGGAAGCCUGGACAUGAGCCAGCAGUGCACACUUGCAGCCCCGAAAGCCAACUGUAUCCUAGGCUGCAUCAACGGAGGGAUGACAGCAGGGAGAGGGAGGGGAUUGUCCCCAUCUGCUCUGCUCUCGUGAGGACUCAUCUGCAGUACUGCAUCCAGGCCUGGGGCCCCCAGCAGAAGAAAAACAUGGAGCUGUUGGAGCGGGUCCAGAGAAGAUCAUAAAGAUGAUCAGAGAGCUGGAGCACCUCUCCUGUGAAGAAAGGCUGAGGGAACUUUGCUUGUUCAGCCUGGAGAAGAGAAGGCUCCAGGGAGACUUCAUCAAGGCUUUCCAGUACUUAAAGGGAACUUAUAAACUGAUUUUUUACAUAGCCUGGUGGUGAUAGAACAAGGGGCAGUGGCUUUAAAACAGAUGAGAUUUAAGUUAGAUGUCAGCAGGAAUUUCUUUACUCAGAGGGCAGUGAGGCCCUGGCACAGCUGCUCCGAGAAGCUGUGGUGCCCCAUCCCUGGAGGCACCCGAGGCCUGGUUGGAUGAGGCCCUGGUGGAAGGUAGCCCUGCCCACAGCAUAGGCUGGGACUGCGUGGGCUUUGAGGUUCCUUCCAACUCAAGUAAUUCUAUCACUCUAUGAUUCUAUGAUAUAUUUGUUGUCUGUCUUGACACAUGACUGUAUGAAUACUGUCUUUACUUUCUAAGUCAUGAUUAAUUUAAAAAUUUCUCAGUUUUCUCACUGUACUUUUUUUUCUUUUCUGAGCCUAAUUACUAAGAGAUGUGAGCAUAUAAAUAUAAAACGUAUGAGUUGUUUGUUGUUGGUGGUGGUGGUGGGUUUUUUUUUUGCAAUAAAUCUGAUCAUUAUUUAUAUUGCUUCUCAGUAUCUCUCCCCUAAGCUAUCCUGAACUUGAACAAAUCACUACAUCACUAGAAUCUUGAACGUUACUUAUUUGUGCGCUAAUUAUUCUUAAUCUGGGUCCUUUUAAGAAGGUUGUCAAUUAGACUUUAUUGAAUUGUCAGUGCUCACAGCAGCAAAGGGAAUCUGGUAGCACGUGUAACCAUGUCACAGAUGGCUAAAUACUCUAUAUUCUGAAGGGGAAAAUGAAUUAAAUAUAGAUUCAAGUUACAGAAUGUGUGUGCGAUGUAGGUUUUUGUUUUUUGGUUUGUUUUUUUUUUCAGAGGAAACCACUGUUUACAAUUGACUGAAGAUGUCUCUGAGGAUCUCUUAUAUAUCAGCCUUUGGGAAGAGCUAUGAGCAAGUGGCUCAUCUAGUUUUCAAGGUUCACAUUGAAAUAGGUCUCUAGAUGGUGCAGAUCUUUCAUCUUUUGAGAACAUCUUAAGGCCACCUUACUGGUGUUUGUUUUCCCUUGCCAAAAGUUCAGAACCACUGCUUUCUACAGUAAAUUCAGUGAUAACAGCCUACCAGGUCAUGUCUUGAUGUUUUCACUCUUUUCACAUGGAUGUUAUCAAGCAGCAAUGAUGACAGUAGCCUC